rnacentral:rRNA from 1 species
CAUGCAGUCGAGCGGAUGACGGGAGCUUGCUCCUUGAUUCAGCGGCGGACGGGUGAGUAAUGCCUAGGAAUCUGCCUGGUAGUGGGGGACAACGUUUCGAAAGGAACGCUAAUACCGCAUACGUCCUACGGGAGAAAGCAGGGGACCUUCGGGCCUUGCGCUAUCAGAUGAGCCUAGGUCGGAUUAGCUAGUUGGUGGGGUAAUGGCUCACCAAGGCGACGAUCCGUAACUGGUCUGAGAGGAUGAUCAGUCACACUGGAACUGAGACACGGUCCAGACUCCUACGGGAGGCAGCAGUGGGGAAUAUUGGACAAUGGGCGAAAGCCUGAUCCAGCCAUGCCGCGUGUGUGAAGAAGGUCUUCGGAUUGUAAAGCACUUUAAGUUGGGAGGAAGGGCAGUAAGUUAAUACCUUGCUGUUUUGACGUUACCGACAGAAUAAGCACCGGCUAACUCCGUGCAAGCCACCCAAA